rnacentral:rRNA from 1 species
CCUACGGGUGGCAGCAGUGGGGGAUAUUGCACAAUGGGGGAAACCCUGAUGCAGCGACGCCGCGUGGGCGAAGAAGUAUUUCGGUAUGUAAAGCCCGAUCAGCAGGGAAGAAGAAAUGACGGUAGAUGAGGAAGAAGCACCGGAUAAAUACGUGCCAGCAGCCGCGGUAAUACGGAUGGUGCAAGCGUGAUCCGGAUUUACGGGGUGUAAAGGGAGGGCAGGCGGCACGGCAAGCCUGAUGUGAAAGCCCGUGGCCCAACCGCGGGAGUGCAUUGGGAACUACCGGGCUGGAGUGCCGGAGAGGUAGGCGGAAUUCCUAGUGUAGCGGUGAAAUGCGUAGAUAUCAGGAGGAACACCGGUGGCGAAGGCGGCCUGCUGGACUGCAACUGACGUUGAGGCCCGAAAGCGUGGGGAGCAAACAGGAUUAGAUACCCCAGUAGUC